CCCAAGCAGAGAACGUGGGGCUUGAACUCACAAACCGUGAGAUCAUGACCUGAGCUGAAACCAAGAGUCAGAUGUUCAACUGACGGAACCAUCCAGGCGCCCAGGAGCUGUCACACUAAAAUGAAGAUAGCUUUUGAAAUGUGAUGUGAGAUAUGCAAAUGCUCCAAUGAUAAGUCUAAGAUAAUAAUUACAACCAAGAAUCACGGAACACACAUUUACUUCUUGUCAUGUUCAUUGUAAGUAAUAUUGCCAAUUCUUAUUACAAGCCAUAGGAGAGGUAACAUCCCCUUUUUAAUGACGAGAAAACUGAAGGUUGAAGUGGUGAAAUGCCUUGUUCCAAGUCCAUACAGUUAACAGAUACCUAAAUCAGAAUUUUAAUUUUCUGUGAUUUUAGCCAAAGAACUCAGUCUCUUUCUAUUAGAUCCUACUUCUUUCUGCAAAACAGCGUUUCACAAAGUACACAGCAGACGCCAUCCUUAGAGAAUUCCUGUGGCAUCCAUUUGGCUAAAGUUGCUGAGAACCCUAAUUAUUUUUUUCAAUGAUUAAAGCAUUUUACAUGUUCCGAGACAUUUUUUAAAUCAGAUUUAGUGCUCCUGGGUUGAAAAUGUGUCAUUUUCAUUAGUGCCCUGAGAUUCUUUCUGCAUCCAACUCUUUCCUGUUUGCUACUUUGGUCUCAUUUCUAUCACCUUUCAAAGAGCUGCCUGGCUGAGACUUAUUAUCAUUAUUAUUUUUUUUUUUUAGGUUGCUUUCAUUGCUAUGAAUCAACUCCAAGGAAAGGUUAUGGAUUUUCAGAGAUGUGCAGGACGUGUGGAGAUUUAUUUGUAUGAUUCUUACUUAUUGACAGAAUGUAUUCCCAGGGUUUAUCAACGUGUUCUGUUAGUUUGACAUUUAGUUGAAAGUGUUUGCUACUCUGAUUCUUGAGGAGGGCAAUCUCUUUCCUACAUUCCUCUCUCAGAUAUAUCCAGAGAAGACCACCUACCUGCUACAUCUAAACGCAUUCAUCCAACUAGUUCAGCUUGGGUUUGUUUUAUUUUGUUUUUCUCCAGCGAGGAUGCAAAGCUAAACAUCUCAAACCCAUCGGUCAUGUUUGGGGAUCUUAGACAGCAAUUUUUUAAACUGAACAUAACUUUUACUCAAAGACACGACCGGAAGGACUUUGUAGUCCUUUGGAAAUGGUAAGUGUUCUUUAAGCAGUUACAUGGAGAGAGGCCACCAUUUUGCAUUGUGCAAGGUAAGUCAAUGCAGAUAUAAACCGUACAUGAUACUCGUCUUGGUACGUUCAUUCUGUUUGCUGAUCCUAGGCCUGCUCAUCCUGAGAUAUAGUCCUCUUUUCUCCCCUACCCCCUAUGCCCCUUUGGCUAUGUGUGGCCUGUAGUAGACCCAGGCAGGACCCUGUGGGAGGUGAGGAGAGGGAAAAGCCAUGUAUUUCUCCCCCCCUUCUUCUUUGCCUCAGGCAUGUCCACGGGCAUUGGCUUGAAGCAUGUCACCAGCUCCUGCGGGAGAUAUCUGCCAUGACUCCAGCUUCUACCCAGUGGCCUGGUCCCUGGCCUCAGGGACCACCAUUUUCUCUGUCUCUCCAGCCUAUGAGUGAGAGUGGCUUCCUGCUGUUGAAAUCUCUUGGGUUACCUCACUGUCUCUUGUUUGGUUUUUCAAGCUCCUCCAUCGCCUGUAUGACCAAUUCCCUGAGAGUAAAUAUUUGAACUGGUUUUGCAUUUCAGAUUAAACCCUGACCUAUCCACCUCUAUGCGUAUAACAUUCAUCAUACCAUUAAUAACAUGUUUAAGGUUCUUUUACUGCCCUGUAAUAGUGACACCCUAGAGUACUGGGAACAGUGCAACAAACCCAACUGUUGCCACAAUUCAUGAUUGAAUAUUUGCUAUUCUGUAUUUUCGAGUGAAUAGAAGGAAAUGUAUUCUGCUGAAAGGAUUCUUUAAUUGCCAUUUUAACCAGGCAGUAGCCCUUUCUAUUUCUACUUAAAGGAACUCUUUUGGAAGAAAAUAACACACCAGGUGUCUUUUAGGUUUUUUGUUUGCUUUUUGAUAGUGUUCAAAGUUACUAAAUCAUCUAGUGAAAGAAUUCUAUUCCAGGUACAUGCCAAAUAACAAUUUUCUAUGCAAAUCUCUUAAAUAUCUAAGCCGGUGCAAAUAUAAACACCCUAUCAAGUGUUCUCAUAACAUCAACUUUAUAAGAUAUGGACUAAUUUAUAAAACCGCUUCACCUACAUUCAAAAAAUUAACUAAUAGUAUAUUUUGUGUUUGUACAAAGUGCAAAAGAGGGUCAAAAUCACUUUUUCCACAUGGCAGUCUGAAUAUAGGAAAACUAACCUAGAGACCCCCACAGGUUGGCUGAACACUACUUUAUUCAGCCAGGGGUGCUGCUGGGGGGAGAAACCAGUCCUAGCUCUGGUCCCACAGUGACACAGACGAAGCUGUUUUCCUGUAGACCCUGUUUCCUUUUAUUCCUAUUUGCACAACUAAACUAUAUUUUUGGUUCCAUUGCAGAUCGACGAGGUCAUGUAUCUGAGUUCUGUCUGGCCAACAGAAUGUGGAAGAAAGUGGUCUCCUCCCCCUUCAGACUGGUUCUUAGAAACUUCCUGGAAUUGUCUACAUCAAAGCCAUAUGGAAAAACAGCAAACUCCAGUCAUCCCAUGAAUCUCAUGCUUUACUAAAAACACAAAUCUGCACACUUGGAACAGAUUGAGACUGAAGUAAAGUAGCACCUAAUACCCCAGAAGCCCAUAAUCAGAUACUUAGGACCCCAGAGAUACGGCUCGGGCAGAAUUCCACUCAGUGACACUCCAAGAGUUAUCAUCAUGGACCGCGUGUUUAUUCUGAGGCACUGAGCUCACACAGCAGGGAGGCAGUUAAAGAAUAUCUCUCUGCCUUUUGGCAAAUUGUAUAAAGCGCUUUUACCAGGAGGUUUGGAGACAGCAACAGCAGCAGUGAGCAAGGCGGUUGCAUUUCUGAACAUAAUCUGAAUUAUCAUUACAGUAAAAUAAAAUUUACUAAAUGGGCAUUUAAUGGUAUUGGGGCAAGGCAAAGAAGCAGAGCUUUCAUCAGGAGAAGCUGGGACAGCUGCAGCCCCUCACAAGAAGAUCCCCUGUGAAUUGUUGGCUUUUGUAACUUGUGACCUUGUGCUAUUUAUAAAAGAGUAUUCCUCUAAGAGCCAAGAUGUAAGGCAUAAAACACCAUUGAAGUAUCAUAGACUUUGGAGAGAGUGUAAUGAACCUCUGAAAUUAGAAAAUGAUACCAAUUCUGAUGGAUGAGACGGAAGUUUUCCCAAAAAAUUAACCUCAGCCUUCCCUUCAACGUACAUACUGGGCAUUAAUUCUGGGAAUUUGUCUUUGGAAUGCGAUUUUUUUCCUCCUCGUAUUGACUGAGUGCCAGAAGUGUCUGAGAUGGAUCAUGUUGACAUAUUCAAAGAAAAAAAUGAUAGCUCCUAUAUAAUUGCACCUGCAUUUUUUCCAAAGUUGUUUUUUUUUUUUAAUGUUUACUUAUUUGAGAGAGAGGCCGGAGGGGGAGAGAGAGAGAGAGGGAGAGAGACAGAAUCCUAAGCAGACUCCCCACUCAGCAUGGAGCAGGACGUGGGACUCGAUCCACAACCGUGAGAUCAUGGCCUGAGCCGAAAUCCAGAGUGGGAUGCUUACCCGACUGAGCUACUGAGGCACCCCAGCCAGCACCUGCUACUUAUUUGCCUGGCACUGGGCAAGCAUCGUCUCAACACCCUGAUGAGCCUGGCACUGAGCUCGCCGGGGCAAGGAUCUGAAACUUGGAGAUACAGAGUAAUUUGUGGAGCUGGGACAUGUUCUCUAGUCAUCUGAUUCCAAGGUGCGUGUUUUCAACCACUCCACUGUCCUAAUUUAAAACCAGGAGACAAUCUGUCAUCUUCGGCUUUACUAUUAGUUGUCCUUUGAAAAAUUACUAAAAUGUCAGAUGUCUAGCUUGGUAGUUGCUCUCCCAGUAAAUUUAAAAAGCAGCAGGCCCUACCCGGCGCUUUCGUAGGCACAGUGGCAAGUAGAGAAGAAAUGUACGCUAAAGCUUCAAGGUGUCUGUGGGUUCGUUGGGGGGGACAUUAUUGACUCUUACAAGACUUGCAUAAUGAAAAGAAUAGUAACGAACCCUUACGGAGCACUUUUUAAGUGGACCACACCCUCCCCUAUGCUCUACAUGUGCACCCUGAGGUGGGCGAAAUUAAGGUCUCUCUCUUUCUGACCCUAGUCUUACAGCAAUAGAGAAAAGCUUCUCAACAGGGAACCUGGACUCCUACCUAAUAGGCUCUCCUAAAGUCUGGGAUCUCCACAUCUUCCCUAUUGCCUUAGAAUCACGAUUGGACUCAACUUUCUAUCCGAGGGAUUAAUUCUAGCUUUCCUUAAAAAAUACUCUCAGUAGGAGGCUCCUUUGAACCGGACUGAGGGGAAGGCAAAUAGUUCAGAAAAGAGCCUAUUCUCUCAGCGCCUCAAAACAUCAGAGCAGAGGGUGAGAUUACCAAUGGCUUGGGGAAAAUUGUUUAGGAGAACAUUUGCCACCUCCUGACCAGGACAUGCGGUGAGAGCUUCGAUAUACAUUCUUUUAAGUCUGAAAGUUGAUGUAACGUGCUUUUUUUCACCAGUCCCAUCGCUUGUCCGAAUUCCUUGCUUUGGAAAAAGAUACUGCUGCACUGUUUUCGUGUUGAUAGUUUUGCUGUGGUAAUUAAUUGUUCAAAAAUCAACAACAGUUAAGAGACACGUGGGUGGCUCAGUCAGUUAAGCUUCCAACUUCAGCUCAGAACAUGAUCUCACCACUCAU